UACUUAGUGGCAGACGGGUGAGUAACAUGUGGGUAUCUACCCUUUGGCCUGGAAUAACACGAGGAAACUUGUGCUAAUACCGGAUAAGUCUUUACGGAGAAAGCUUUAUGCACCAUUGGAUGAGCCCGCACUUGAUUAGUUUGUUGGUAGGGUAAUGGCCUACCAAGACUAUGAUCAAUAGCUGAUUUGAGAGGAUGAUCAGCCACAUUGGGACUGGGACACGGCCCAAACUCCUACGGGAGGCAGCAGUGGGGAAUCUUGCACAAUGGAGGAAACUCUGAUGCAGCGAUGCCGCGUGAGUGAAGAAGGCCUUUGGGUUGUAAAGCUCUUUCGUCGGGGAAGAAAAUGACUGUACCCGAAUAAGAAGGUCCGGCUAACUUCGUGCCAGCAGCCGCGGUAAUACGAAGGGACCUAGCGUAGUUCGGAAUUACUGGGCUUAAAGAGUUCGUAGGUGGUUGAAAAAGUUGGUGGUGAAAUCCCAGAGCUUAACUCUGGAACUGCCAUCAAAACUUUUCAGCUAGAGUAUGAUAGAGGAAAGCAGAAUUUCUAGUGUAGAGGUGAAAUUCGU
rnacentral:rRNA from 1 species